rnacentral:rRNA from 1 species
UACGUAGGGGCCGAGCGUUGUCCGGAGUUACUGGGCGUAAAGGGCGCGCAGGCGGUUGGUCACAUCGGCGGUGAAAGCCCCCCGCUCAACGGGGGAGGGUCCGUCGAGAUGGGCCGACUGGAGGCAGGGAGAGGGCGGUGGAAUUCCGGGUGUGAGUGGUGAAAUGCGUAGAUAUCCGGAGGAACACCAGUGGCGAAGGCGGC